AUUGAACGCUGGCGGCAGGCCUAACACAUGCAAGUCGAGCGGAUGAAGGGAGCUUGCUCCUGGAUUCAGCGGCGGACGGGUGAGUAAUGCCUAGGAAUCUGCCUGGUAGUGGGGGAUAACGUCCGGAAACGGGCGCUAAUACCGCAUACGUCCUGAGGGAGAAAGUGGGGGAUCUUCGGGCCUCACGCUAUCAGAUGAGCCUAGGUCGGAUUAGCUAGUUGGUGGGGUAAAGGCCUACCAAGGCGACGAUCCGUAACUGGUCUGAGAGGAUGGUCAGUCACACUGGAACUGAGACACGGUCCAGACUCCUACGGGAGGCAGCAGUGGGGAAUAUUGGACAAUGGGCGAAAGCCUGAUCCAGCCAUGCCGCGUGUGUGAAGAAGGUCUUCGGAUUGUAAAGCACUUUAAGUUGGGAGGAAGGGCAGUAAGUUAAUACCUUGCUGUUUUGACGUUACCAACAGAAUAAGCACCGGCUAACUUCGUG
rnacentral:rRNA from 1 species